CAGCCGCCGCGGUAAUACAUAGGGGCCAAGCGUUAUCCGGAAUUAUUGGGCGUAAAGGGUGAGUAGGCGGCUACUUAAGUUUGAGGUUUAAACACAGUGCUCAACGCUGUGGCGCUUCAAAAACUAGGUAGCUAGAGUUAGAUAGAGGCAAGUGGAAUUCCAUGUGUAGCGGUAAAAUGCGUAAAUAUAUGGAGGAACACCAGUGGCGAAGGCGGCUUGCUGGGUCUAUACUGACGCUGAGGCACGAAAGCGUGGGGAGCAAACCGGAUUAGAUACCCGGGUAGUCCACGCCGUAAACGAUGAGUACUAAGUGUCGGAAGAAUUCGGUGCUGUAGUUAACGCAAUAAGUACUCCGCCUGAGUAGUACGUGCGCAAGCAUGAAACUCAAAGGAAUUGACGGGACCCCGCACAAGCGGUGGAUCAUGUUGUUUAAUUCGAAGAUACGCGAAGAACCUUACCAGGUCUUGACAUCCCUUGCAAUACUAUAGAGAUAUAGUGGAGGCUAUCAAGGUGACAGGUGGUGCAUGGCC
rnacentral:rRNA from 1 species